ACGGGAGGCAGCAGUGGGGGAUAUUGCACAAUGGGGGAAACCCUGAUGCAGCGACGCCGCGUGAGUGAAGAAGUAUUUCGGUAUGUAAAGCUCUAUCAGCAGGGAAGAAAAUGACGGUACCUGACUAAGAAGCUCCGGCUAAAUACGUGCCAGCAGCCGCGGUAAUACGUAUGGAGCAAGCGUUAUCCGGAUUUACUGGAUGUAAAGGGUGCGUAGGCGGCAUGGCAAGUCAGAUGUGAAAGACCGGGGCUCAACUCCGGGGCUGCAUUUGAAACUGUCUUGCUAGAGUGCAGGAGGGGCAAGCGGAAUUCCUAGUGUAGCGGUGAAAUGCGUAGAUAUUAGGAGGAACACCAGUGGCGAAGGCGGCUUACUGGACGGUAACUGACGUUGAGGCUCGAAAGCGUGGGGAGCAAACAGGAUUAGAUACCCUGGUA
rnacentral:rRNA from 1 species